AUGAAGAUUCAACAAAAAGGGAUGGGAAUGGUUUAUUCAACGAAUGGAGUAGUAGAGCUUGAGCGAGAAUACAUAAAAGAGAAAGAAAAUGGUUCCUUGAACUUCAUGCUUUGGUUUGCUGGUGGCUUAGCUUCAACAUUCAGCAACCAUAAUAAACCCACACGGUCCAAUACUCUCUCUGUCCAGCUUCAUUUCGAUACCGGUUUCCAAGAACUGUUUCAAGUGUUCGUUCUCGCAUAG